GACGAACGCUGGCGGCGUGCUUAACACAUGCAAGUCGAACGGAGCGAAUGAAAGCUUGCUUUUAUGAGCUUAGUGGCAAACGGGUGAGUAACACGUAGACAACCUGCCGACAGGAUGGGGACAACAUUCCGAAAGGAAUGCUAAUACCGAAUGAAGCGGAGGAGAGGCAUCUCUCUUCCGUGAAAGAUGGCCUCUUUUUAUGCUAUCACCUGUUGAUGGGUCUGCGUCUGAUUAGCUGGUAGGUGAGGUAACGGCUCACCUAGGCGACGAUCAGUAGCCGGUCUGAGAGGAUGAACGGCCACAUUGGGACUGAGACACGGCCCAGACUCCUACGGGAGGCAGCAGUGGGGAAUCUUCCGCAAUGGGCGCAAGCCUGACGGAGCAACGCCGCGUGAGUGAAGAAGGUCUUCGGAUCGUAAAGCUCUGUUGACGGGGACGAACGUGCGAG
rnacentral:rRNA from 1 species